rnacentral:rRNA from 1 species
GAGUUUGAUCCUGGCUCAGAUUGAACGCUGGCGGCAUGCCUUACACAUGCAAGUCGAACGGCAGCGCGGGGCAACCUGGCGGCGAGUGGCGAACGGGUGAGUAAUAUAUCGGAACGUACCCUGGAGUGGGGGAUAACGUAGCGAAAGUUACGCUAAUACCGCAUACGAUCUAAGGAUGAAAGCAGGGGACCGCAAGGCCUUGUGCUCCUGGAGCGGCCGAUAUCUGAUUAGCUAGUUGGUGGGGUAAAGGCCUACCAAGGCAUCGAUCAGUAGCUGGUCUGAGAGGACGACCAGCCACACUGGAACUGAGACACGGUCCAGACUCCUACGGGAGGCAGCAGUGGGGAAUUUUGGACAAUGGGCGCAAGCCUGAUCCAGCAAUGCCGCGUGAGUGAAGAAGGCCUUCGGGUUGUAAAGCUCUUUUGUCAGGGAAGAAACGGUGGAGGCUAAUAUCCUCUGCUAAUGACGGUACCUGAAGAAUAAGCACCGGCUAACUACGUGCCAGCAGCCGCGGUAAUACGUAGGGUGCAAGCGUUAAUCGGAAUUACUGGGCGUAAAGCGUGCGCAGGCGGUUUUGUAAGUCUGUCGUGAAAUCCCCGGGCUCAACCUGGGAAUUGCGAUGGAGACUGCAAGGCUAGAAUCUGGCAGAGGGGGGUAGAAUUCCACGUGUAGCAGUGAAAUGCGUAGAGAUGUGGAGGAACACCGAUGGCGAAGGCAGCCCCCUGGGUCAAGAUUGACGCUCAUGCACGAAAGCGUGGGGAGCAAACAGGAUUAGAUACCCUGGUAGUCCACGCCGUAAACGUUGGGCACUAGGUGUGGGACCCUAUCGACGGGUUCCGUGCCGCAGCUAACGCAUUAAGUGCCCCGCCUGGGGAGUACGGUCGCAAGAUUAAAACUCAAAGGAAUUGACGGGGACCCGCACAAGCGGUGGAUGAUGUGGAUUAAUUCGAUGCAACGCGAAAAACCUUACCUACCCUUGACAUGGAAGGAAUCCUGGAGAGAUUUGGGAGUGCCCGAAAGGGAACCUUUACACAGGUGCUGCAUGGCUGUCGUCAGCUCGUGUCGUGAGAUGUUGGGUUAAGUCCCGCAACGAGCGCAACCCUUGUCAUUAGUUGCUACGAAAGAGCACUCUAAUGAGACUGCCGGUGACAAACCGGAGGAAGGUGGGGAUGACGUCAAGUCCUCAUGGCCCUUAUGGGUAGGGCUUCACACGUCAUACAAUGGUACAUACAGAGGGCCGCCAACCCGCGAGGGGGAGCUAAUCCCAGAAAGUGUAUCGUAGUCCGGAUUGUAGUCUGCAACUCGACUACAUGAAGUUGGAAUCGCUAGUAAUCGCGGAUCAGCAUGUCGCGGUGAAUACGUUCCCGGGUCUUGUACACAC